rnacentral:rRNA from 1 species
AGUGAACGCUGGCGGUAGGCCUAACACAUGCAAGUCGAACGGCAGCACAGUAAGAGCUUGCUCUUACGGGUGGCGAGUGGCGGACGGGUGAGGAAUACAUCGGAAUCUACUUUUUCGUGGGGGAUAACGUAGGGAAACUUACGCUAAUACCGCAUACGACCUACGGGUGAAAGCAGGGGAUCUUCGGACCUUGCGCGAUUGAAUGAGCCGAUGUCGGAUUAGCUAGUUGGCGGGGUAAAGGCCCACCAAGGCGACGAUCCGUAGCUGGUAUGAGAGGAUGAUCAGCCACACUGGAACUGAGACACGGUCCAGACUCCUACGGGAGGCAGCAGUGGGGAAUGUUGGACAAUGGGCGCAAGCCUGAUCCAGCCAUACCGCGUGGGUGAAGAAGGCCUUCGGGUUGUAAAGCCCUUUUGUUGGGAAAGAAAAGCAGCAGGUUAAUACCCCGCUGUUCUGACGGUACCCAAAGAAUAAGCACCGGCUAACUUCGUG